rnacentral:rRNA from 1 species
UAGCAAUACAUUUGUAAAGCGGCGAACGGGUGAGGAAUACAUGGGUAACCUACCCUCGAGUGGGGAAUAACUAGCCGAAAGGUUAGCUAAUACCGCGUACGCUCCUUGGACUUCGGUUCAGGGAGGAAAGCGAUACCGUGGGUAUCGCGCUCUUGGAUGGGCUCAUGUCCUAUCAGCUUGUUGGUGAGGUAACGGCUCACCAAGGCUUCGACGGGUAGCUGGUCUGAGAGGACGAUCAGCCACACUGGCACUGCGACACGGGCCAGACUCCUACGGGAGGCAGCAGUAAGGAAUAUUGCGCAAUGGGCGAAAGCCUGACGCAGCGACGCCGCGUGGGGGAUGAAGGUCUUCGGAUUGUAAACCCCUUUCGGGAGGGAAGAUGGAACGAGCAAUCGUUCGGACGGUACCUCCAGAAGCAGCCACGGCUAACUUCGUGCCAGCAGCCGCGGUAAUACGAAGGUGGCAAGCGUUGUUCGGAUUUACUGGGCGUACAGGGAGCGUAGGCGGUUCGGUAAGCCCUUUGUGAAAUCUCCAGGCUUAACCUGGAACAGUCGGAGGGGACUGCUGAGCUAGAGGACGGGAGAGGAGCGCGGAAUUCCCGGUGUAGCGGUGAAAUGCGUAGAGAUCGGGAGGAAGGCCGGUGGCGAAGGCGGCGCUCUGGAACGUUUCUGACGCUGAGGCUCGAAAGCGU